UUGUCGCUGGCCAAUUCGGAGGGUGAGACCUCCCUAUUGCCUCGGAAUCGCGAAGCGGUAGGUCGCGCAGCCUCUUCUCCGCUCGAAAGCGACAUUCCCUUGCCGAGCCUCGACAGAGCCGUCUCCGACCUGAAGCUAGCUGGCGGCGGCGCGACCUGCAGCAAUCCGCCGCCGGUGGCAGUGAUGGGGAGGAAGACCGUGAGGGAUCCGUGGAAGAUGUUUGUGGAGAUGCAAAGGAACAGCCAUCUCCAGAUCAUUAGCGAUAUUGUCCGAUCAAUUGCACUGCCCGUCAGCGGCCAAGCUCGAGCUGCUGCCAUAAUCUUCUCAUCAAUCGAGCUCAUCUGCUCAGCAGCUCAUCUGCUACUGGAACAUAAAUAGACACGAGAAAGAAGCUUGUGUCUCAUUUUAAUAUAUAAAUACUGUGUUUUAUGUUUGUACGUAACUUUAUAUUGUUCAAACUCAACCAAACAUUUAAUUCCGCCGCUUGUACAUCCAAACAUGAAUUGUAAUUGGAGGCUACAAUUUGAUUCUAACAACAUCUACCAUGCACAUCCAAACGGCGGAAUUGAAAUGAAGUCAUUUCCUUUCCAUCUUGGUUUUGGUAUUCCAUUUAAAUUCAAUUCCAAGAUUCAAUUCUAUGCA